rnacentral:tRNA from 1 species
GGGGUUGCAGCUCAGUGGUAGAGUGCUCACCUCACAUGCUGUGAGGCACUGGGUUCAAUCCUCAGCACUACA